UGGGGAAUCUUCCGCAAUGGACGAAAGUCUGACGGAGCAACGCCGCGUGAGUGAAGAAGGUUUUCGGAUCGUAAAAACUCUGUCUUUUGGGGGCGAACUGAGUAUGGUGAACAAUCAUAGUCAGUGACGGUACCAAAGGAGGAAGCCACGGCUAACUACGUGCCAGCAGCCGCGGUAAUACGUAGGUGGCAAGCGUUGUCCGGAAUUAUUGGGCGUAAAGAGCGCGUAGGCGGGAUAGUCAGUCUGUUGUAAAAGUGCGGGGCUCAACCCCGUGAUGGCAAUGGAAACAGCUAUUCUUGAGUGCAGGAGAGGAAAGGUGGAAUUCCCAGUGUAGCGGUGAAAUGCGUAGAUAUUGGGAGGAACACCAGUGGCGAAGGCGACUUUCUGGACUGUGUCUGACGCUGAGGCGCGAAAGCCAGGGGAGCGAACGGGAUUAGAUACCCCCGGUAGUCCUGGCCGUAAACGAUGGGUACUAGGUGUGGGAGGUAUCGACCCCUUCCGUGCCGGAGUUAACGCAAUAAGUACCCCGCCUGGGGAGUACGGUCGCAAGACUGAAACUUAAAUGAAUUGAC
rnacentral:rRNA from 1 species